AUUGAACGCUGGCGGCAGGCCUAACACAUGCAAGUCGAGCGGAGCGGCGGACGGGUGAGUAAUGCCUAGGAAACUGCCUGGUAGUGGGGGAUAACGUCCGGAAACGGGCGCUAAUACCGCAUACUAUCAGAUGAGCCUAGGUCGGAUUAGCUAGUUGGUGGGGUAAAGGCCUACCAAGGCGACGAUCCGUAACUGGUCUGAGAGGAUGAUCAGUCACACUGGGACUUAGACACGGGCCAGACUCCUACGGGAGGCAGCAAGGGGGAAAGUUGGACAAGGGGCGAAAGCCUUAUCCAGCCAUGCCGCGGGUGGGAAGAAGGUCUUCGGGUUGUAAAGGAAUUUAAGGUUGGGAGCGUUACCAACAGAAUAAGCACCGGCUAACUUCGUGCCAGCAGCCGCGGUAAUUC
rnacentral:rRNA from 1 species